GAUGAACGCUAGCUACAGGCUUAACACAUGCAAGUCGAGGGGCAGCAUUUCAGUUUGCUUGCAAACUGGAGAUGGCGACCGGCGCACGGGUGAGUAACACGUAUCCAACCUGCCGAUAACUCGGGGAUAGCCUUUCGAAAGAAAGAUUAAUACCCGAUGGUAUAAUCAGACCGCAUGGUCUUGUUAUUAAAGAAUUUCGGUUAUCGAUGGGGAUGCGUUCCAUUAGGCAGUUGGUGAGGUAACGGCUCACCAAACCUUCGAUGGAUAGGGGUUCUGAGAGGAAGGUCCCCCACAUUGGAACUGAGACACGGUCCAA
rnacentral:rRNA from 1 species